rnacentral:rRNA from 1 species
GACAGAGGCCCCAAGCGUUAGGCGGAAUCACUGGGCUUAAAGCGUGUGUAGGCGGAUCGUUAAGUGUCUUGUGAAAUCCCACGGCUCACCCGUGGAACUGCUGGGCAUACUGGCGAUCUUGGGCCAACUAGGGGCAGCCGGAACAAGCGGUGGAGCGGCGAAAUGCGUAGAUAUCGCUUGGAACGCCGAAGGUGAAAACAGGCUGCUGGGGUUGCGCCGACGCUGAGACACGAAAGCCAGGGGAGCAAACGGG